rnacentral:ncRNA from 1 species
UAAGUAGUGAAGAAGAGGAAAUGCAUUAUUUUACCGGUUAUCAGAGAGGGAAGGCUUGCUGGAAACUUCCUAACGCAGGGAAAUAAAUGUACCACCUCAGAGCUGUAUCGGGGAAACUAAGUAACCAAUACCGUAAUUGCUGCGUUAAAGCAACCAAAGCCAGUGAAUCUUUCAUUUCAUUGGGAAAUUGGGUGGAACCACGAACAUACACAUUCGUCCCUUAU